UGAACAUUGAGCCUUGAUGUGUAGGAUAGGUGGGAGGCUUUGAAGUGUGGACGCCAGUCUGCAUGGAGCCGACCUUGAAAUACCACCCUUUAAUGUUUGAUGUUCUAACGUUGACCCGUAAUCCGGGUUGCGGACAGUGUCUGGUGGGUAGUUUGACUGGGGCGGUCUCCUCCUAAAGAGUAACGGAGGAGCACGAAGGUUGGCUAAUCCUGGUCGGACAUCAGGAGGUUAGUGCAAUGGCAUAAGCCAGCUUGACUGCGAGCGUGACGGCGCGAGCAGGUGCGAAAGCAGGUCAUAGUGAUCCGGUGGUUCUGAAUGGAAGGGCCAUCGCUCAACGGAUAAAAGGUACUCCGGGGAUAACAGGCUGAUACCGCCCAAGAGUUCAUAUCGACGGCGGUGUUUGGCACCUCGAUGUCGGCUCAUCACAUCCUGGGGCUGAAGUAGGUCCCAAGGGUAUGGCUGUUCGCCAUUUAAAGUGGUACGCGAGCUGGGUUUAGAACGUCGUGAGACAGUUCGGUCCCUAUCUGCCGUGGGCGCUGGAGAACUGAGGGGGGCUGCUCCUAGUACGAGAGGACCGGAGUGGACGCAUCACUGGUGUUCGGGUUGUCAUGCCAAUGGCACUGCCCGGUAGCUAAAUGCGGAAGAGAUAAGUGCUGAAAGCAUCUAAGCACGAAACUUGCCCCGAGAUGAGUUCUCCCUGACUCCUUGAGAGUCCUGAAGGAACGUUGAAGACGACGACGUUGAUAGGCCGGGUGUGUAAGCGCAGCGAUGCGUUGAGCUAACCGGUACUAAUGAACCGUGAGG
rnacentral:rRNA from 1 species